GUGUUCUCACUUUGGCAGCAUGUAUACUAAAAUUGGAAUGAUACAGAGAAGAUUAGCAAGGACCCUGUGUAAGGAUGAUGUAAAUUCAUAAAACAUCCCAUAUUUUU